GGUGGGAUGGCCGAGCGGACGAAGGCGCACGCCUCGAAAGCGUGUAGGCGGUGAUGAAUCGUCUCGGGGGUUCGAAUCCCUCUCCCACCG
rnacentral:tRNA from 1 species